rnacentral:misc_RNA from 1 species
AAGUCGUAACAAGGUUUCCGUAGGUGAACCUGCGAAGGAUCAUUAACACGUAUCCACGUUUAACCACCCGUGCACCUUCAUUUUAUACCGUCGUGUCAUGAAGCUUGCGAUGUUCUACUUUUGCCUGCGGUUUGUCGAGCUGGUGUUGUGGACGACAAUCUAUCUUGGGAGGCCUUGUGGGGUGGUUAGCGAAGCAACCUCUGUCCAUGAGAAUGUGUCUUCGGGGUAGCUUGUUGUUCUCAUUUGCCAGCUUGUCGAAUCUCGAUGUCAAAUUCCUGACUCGCAAGUUUUGUGUCCGCGUCCCAGUUGUUCUUACCCACCGCGUACCAAAAGUGACGCAAUUCAACCGUGCGCAGGCCAAAAGGCCAGGGCGGAAACCCGCACAACUGUUAACAAUGGAUAUCUUGGCUCUC